GAUGAACGCUGGCGGCGUGCCUAAUACAUGCAAGUCGAGCGAACAGACGAGGAGCUUGCUCCUCUGACGUUAGCGGCGGACGGGUGAGUAACACGUGGAUAACCUACCUAUAAGACUGGGAUAACUUCGGGAAACCGGAGCUAAUACCGGAUAACAUGUUGAACCGCAUGGUUCAACAGUGAAAGACGGUCUUGCUGUCACUUAUAGAUGGAUCCGCGCCGCAUUAGCUAGUUGGUAAGGUAACGGCUUACCAAGGCAACGAUGCGUAGCCGACCUGAGAGGGUGAUCGGCCACACUGGAACUGAGACACGGUCCAGACUCCUACGGGAGGCAGCAGUAGGGAGUCUUCCGCAAUGGGCGAAAGCCUGACGGAGCAACGCCGCGUGAGUGAUGAAGGUCUUCGGAUCGUAAAACUCUGUUAUUAGGGAAGAACAAAUGUGUAAGUAACUAUGCACGUCUUGACGGUACCUAAUCAGAAAGCCACGGCUAACUACGUG
rnacentral:rRNA from 1 species